UACUACUCCUGCCUUCACCUGUCGCUUCCCUGCUACUCCUGCCUCCGCCUCAAAGGUGAGGAAAUUUAACAUAAGAAAAUCUGGUAUCCCUGUUGUUUGUGAUAUCCACACUGCUGUCACUACCUUCACCGUUGUUGGUCUUGAUUGCUGUUUGGUAAAAUAGGAAAUACACACUGCUGUCACUGCCUUCACCAUUGUUGGGCUUAAUUGCUGUUUGGUAAAAUAGGAAAUAGGAAUUAUUAGGAAUUAUUAGUACUUUGCUGCCUUCCACUUAGAACCACCUGAGAAUUUAUUGAAUCUUUCACUCAGCUUAUGUACAUAUUUUCCAAGAAAAUGUGAUACCCACCCCCCUAACUUUGGGAAAAGCUAGUUAGCUAUUUGCAAUUUCCAUCCAUAAUUCUAACAUGGGAUUCUGUCUGUUUUUAGUGUGGAGCAAGAGAGGAAUCCAAAAAAUCAAUUGGAUUUAUGGAUGAAAUUCAUACAGUAAUGGCUUAUAUAUUUAAAUGUAAAGUUCCACAAUGUUGUAUAGUUUUAGACAGAGUUGAAAUGGUGCUACUAAUGGAAUCCAACUGCCCUGCCCUUCUGCGUAAUAUGAUUCUCAACAGUCCCCAAUUUGUUGGGAUUCUUUAUUUCUUAUUAAGUGAAUUAACAGUGAUUCUUCUUGUACCCUGUAGGGCUA
rnacentral:lncRNA from 1 species